rnacentral:rRNA from 1 species
GACGAACGCUGGCGGCGUGCUUAACACAUGCAAGUCGAACGGAAAGGCCCUGCUUUUGUGGGGUGCUCGAGUGGCGAACGGGUGAGUAACACGUGAGUAACCUGCCCUUGACUUUGGGAUAACUUCAGGAAACUGGGGCUAAUACCGGAUAGGAGCUCCUGCUGCAUGGUGGGGGUUGGAAAGUUUCGGCGGUUGGGGAUGGACUCGCGGCUUAUCAGCUUGUUGGUGGGGUAGUGGCUUACCAAGGCUUUGACGGGUAGCCGGCCUGAGAGGGUGACCGGCCACAUUGGGACUGAGAUACGGCCGAGACUCCUACGGGAGGCAGCAGUGGGGAAUAUUGCACGAUGAGCGGAAGCCUGAUGCAGCAACGCCGCGUGCGGGAUGACGGCCUUCGGGUUGUAAACCGCUUUCGCCUGUGACGAAGCGUGAGUGGCGGUAAUGGGUACAGAAGCACCGGCUAAAUACGUG